rnacentral:rRNA from 1 species
CACGUAGGCACCAAGCGUUGUCCGGAUUUAUUGGGCGUAAAGAGCUCGUAGGCGGUUGAGUAAGUCGGGGGUGAAAACUCUGGGCUUAACCCAGAGCCGCCACUCGAUACUGCUCUGACUUGAGUUCGGUAGGGGAGCAGGGAAUUCCUAGUGUAGCGGUGAAAUGCGCAGAUAUUAGGAAGAACACCCGUGGCGAAGGCGGCUCUCUGGGACGGUACUGACGCUGAUGCGCGAAAGCCAGGGGAGCGAACGGG